CUUCGCCCAAUUCUUCUUUCAAGAAAGAAGAGGUUGGAGAUCAGGAGCUUUCCUUCGUGCUACCUGACCUAAAUCUUCCUGUUGAAGAUAACUCGGGCCCUGAUGUUCUAUAUGGGAUUAGCUGAGAAGAAUCACUUAUAUACUGGUAGUCUUCUUUUCAAAUCAAUAGCAGCAUUUGUUCUUUUAAUCUGCAGUCCUAACAGCAUCACAAAUUGAGUUAAUGUAAGUACUAUAACCAAUUAACUUCACGGCAUCUUUACCUGGAUGCGAACUCUGUUAUUUAUACUGAAAGUACUGAGGGGUAGUGUAGAGAUCCUAAUCAUUAGUUACAGCUUAGAUUCUUUCUUUGAGCAGAUUUCUACAUUCAUCCAAAUUCUUUGGGGCCAACCA
rnacentral:misc_RNA from 1 species